GUCCUUAGUGACCAUGGUGCUGAGUCUCCAGUAACCCCAGGUCCUUAGUGACCAUGAUGCUGAGUCUCCAGUAACCCCAGGUCCUUAGUGACCAUGAUGCUGAGUCUCCAGUAACCCCAGGUCCUUAGUGACCAUGAUGCUGAGUCUCCAGUAACCCCAGGUCCUUAGUGACCAUGAUGCUGAGUCUCCAGUAACCCCAGGUCCUUAGUGACCAUGAUGCUGAGUCUCCAGUAACCCCAGGUCCUUAGUGACCAUGAUGCUGAGUCUCCAGUAACCCCAGGUCCUUAGUGACCAUAAUGCUGAGUCUCCAGUAACCCCAGGUCCUUAGUGACCAUAAUUCUGAGUCUCCAGUAACCCCAGGUCCUUAGUGACCAUGAUGCUGAGUCUCCAGUAACCCCAGGUCCUUAGUGGCCAUGAUACGUAGUCUCGUGGGAUCAUAUGAGGCCGGAACACAACAGCCCCUGCAGUGCUGUAGUGUACCUCCCAAAUGGAACACUAUGCCCUACAUAGUGCAGUUAGUUUGGGCCCUGGUCAAAAUAGGGUGGCAUUUGGGACAUGGAGCUGAUUCAUCAGGCUGUGGAGUGGUCUGGGCCAGCUGACUCAUAAAACCGUCUGGUCUGUGAAAGAACGAGUUCCUCUGUAACAAGGAUCCGUAUGUAUGAAGAUGGAGUGUCCCGUCACACGCUUACACUGGAGACCAGAGCUCUCACCAUUCUAAAAAGUAAUCCAUCCAGCAUAUAUAGGUUUCUUCGUACCACGUGGGAAUAGUUCCGAGGCCCUAAUGGUACCCUACCUCCUGUUCAGUGCUCUACUGUCUGACUAGGGCCCUUAGAGCUAGGAUUAGUAGUUAGAAUAGGGUGCCAUCUGAGACACAGCCUAAGGUAACAUCUAUUUAUACAGGAUCAAGGAUUGUGAAACUAAAGCUUCAUCAUGUGUAAAGAGACAUCUAAUGUAGCAUAUUCUUGUUAUUCAGGAUAAUCUGUUUUUCCCUCAUUGACACCCAGCUCUGUGCACCGUAUGGCUCAGAAGGUGGCUAUUUAAAGCCCUGUAACUUCUAUUCCCCUUGGUCCUACUUUCUUCUGUGUGUGUGUGUGUCCCCUGGUCUGUUGUGAAUGGUUUCUAAAAGUCACCUCUCUUUAU